ACUUGAAGUUGGCGUUGGUACAGAUGGUGUGUGUCUGUGUGUGUAUACAGCAGGUACUUGAAGUUGGUACAGAUGAUGUGUGUCUGUGUGUGUAUACAGCAGGUACUUGACGUUGGCGUUGGUACAGAUGAUGUGUGUCUGUGUGUGUAUACAGCAGGUACUUGAAGUUGGUACAGAUGAUGUGUGUCUGUGUGUGUAUACAGCAGGUACUUGAAGUUGGUACAGAUGGUGUGUGUCUGUGUGUGUAUACAGCAGGUACUUGACGUUGG